rnacentral:misc_RNA from 1 species
AAGUCGUAACAAGGUUUCCGUAGGUGAACCUGCGGAAGGAUCAUUAACACUUACUGUUUAAAGUUUAACUUUUAUAAUUAAACUUCAAACAUGUAUUUCAACAAACUCGUGCUCCUUUUUUUUCCAAACCUUUAACUAUUUUAAAUUUAUCUUUUAGCAGUUUUUCGUUUUUUAGCUGUUUUUGUUUUUCAAACAAAAACACUUAAUCAACGGAAAUGUAUGUAAUAACAAUGUUAAAUAGUAUUUUUAUAUGUACAUUAUGUACAGAUAAGAAUAGCUAUAACAGAGUUAAACAAACAACUGUUAACAAUGGAUAUCUAGGCUCUC